rnacentral:rRNA from 1 species
AGUGAACGCUGGCGGUAGGCCUAACACAUGCAAGUCGAACGGCAGCACAGGAGAGCUUGCUCUCUGGGUGGCGAGUGGCGGACGGGUGAAGAAUACAUCGGAAUCUACUCUGUCGUGGGGGAGAACGUAGGGAAACUUACGCUAAUACCGCAUACGACCUACGGGUGAAAGCAGGGGACCUUCGGGCCUUGCGCGAUUGAAUGAGCCGAUGUCGGAUUAGCUAGUUGGCGGGGUAAAGGCCCACCAAGGCGACGAUCCGCAGCUGGUCUGAGAGGAUGAUCAGCCACACUGGAACUGAGACACGGUCCAGACUCCUACGGGAGGCAGCAGUGGGGAAUAUUGGACAAUGGGCGCAAGCCUGAUCCAGCCAUACCGCGUGGGUGAAGAAGGCCUUCGGGUUGUAAAGCCCUUUUGUUGGGAAAGAAAUCCAGCUGGCUAAUACCCGGUUGGGAUGACGGUACCCAAAGAAUAAGCACCGGCUAACUUCGUGCCAGCCGCCGCGGUAA